UGACAGAGAUCCAGGUGGAGAGAGAAGCAUGCCUGGAGGAUACUCUGUUUUGCAGGGACAUGCUUCUGAGGUUCUGGGUGGAAGGCACUCCUAGGGCCUCGUGUGGGUUAAGGAGCUGUUCUCUAUGGCCUGACCCUUCAGGAGCCCCAGUGAAUAUAUUGCUGCCAUCUUGGAGCUCAGCGCCCUUGUGGUGAAACGGCAGAGGCAGAUAUUCCUGUACCCGGACGUGCUGUACUACCUCACCCCUGAUGGGCGGCGCUUCCGCAGGGCUUGUGACCUGGUGCACAACUUCACAGAUGCCAUCAUCCAGGAGCGGCGCUGCUCCCUCCUUACUGAGGGCUCCCAUGACUUCCUCAAGGCCAAGGCUAAGGCCAAGACUUUGGACUUCAUUGAUGUGCUCCUGCUGGCCAAGGUGGGCUUCCUUGGGAUCAGAAUUCAAGAGUUAGAAUGCACCUUGACUCCAAAUGUCAGAUGGGAGAACUUGGACUUGACCCAGCGGGUACUGAGGAGCCACGGAAGGUGCUUGAGGAAGGGAGAGACAGGUCAGGGAUCUGUUUUAGACAUGACUUUGUAGAAGGCUGCUUGGGAGAAGAAAGCUGCAGACAGGGAGACCUGUGGGAUAGGGCUCUAGAGAUGAUGAGGGACGAAUCCUGCUUUGGUGAUGGAGCCUGAGGGACUGUUUCAGGCGAGACUCAGGUGCCCUCCGAGCCGGUGUGAUUCAGGAGGUCGUGCCCUUUCUGCAGGAUGAAGAUGGGAAGGAACUGUCCCAUGAGGAUAUCCGAGCUGAAGCUGACACCUUCAUGUUUGGGGGUAAGCAUCCCAGUGUGGGACUGCAGGGGGUAGGAGUCUGUCCAAUCCCAGGGACUUGGCAGGUGGGCCCUGGACCACCCCAUCCCACCCCAUCUUCCCCAUCCUCCCUGAGGGCCCUAACGAAGGGCGCUGUCCGCCCUCUGGUGCUGAACAAGCCCAGAGACCCAAGCCUGCCUGGCUGCCUCUCAGGCCAUGACACCACGGCCAGUGGUCUCUCCUGGGUCCUGUACAACCUUGCGAAGCACCCAGAGUAUCAGGAGCGCUGUCGGCAGGAGGUGCAAGAGCUCCUGAGGGACCGUGAGCCUAAAGAGAUUGAAUGGUGAGUGCAGGUCCUCAUGUCCUGUUCUG
rnacentral:lncRNA from 1 species